rnacentral:rRNA from 1 species
GUAGGGAAUAUUGGGCAAUGGGCGAAAGCCUGACCCAGCAACGCCGCGUGCACGAUGAAGGCCUUCGGGUCGUAAAGUGCUUUUCUGAGGAAUGAGUAAGGACAGUACCUCAGGAAUAAGCCUCGGCUAACUACGUGCCAGCAGCCGCGGUAAAACGUAGGAGGCAAGCGUUAUCCGGAUUUACUGGGCGUAAAGCGUGUGUAGGCGGUUCGGCAAGUUGGAUGUGAAAGCUCCUGGCUUAACUAGGAGAGGUCGUUCAAUACUACCGAACUUGAGGGCAUCAGAGGAGAGUGGAAUUCCCGGUGUAGUGGUGAAAUGCGUAGAUAUCGGGAGGAACACCAGUGGCGAAAGCGGCUCUCUGGGAUGAUCCUGACGCUCAGACACGAAAGCUAGGGUAGCGAACGGGAUUAGAAACCCCAGUAGUCC